GCCCGGCUGGCUCAGUCGGUAGCGCAUGAGACUCUUAAUUUCACGUUCGUGGGGUCGAGCCCCACGCUGGGCA